GAAAUUUGCCCAUACUUCAGUUCUUAUUAAAGGAACUCUACAUAAUGUACUUGUAUUCCAACAACGUGACCCGUUUCUGUCCCCUGAUACAAGGUAAACACGUGCAAGUCAAAUAUAGACAAACAUUUUAUUGCUGAUUGAGUCUUAACUACAAAAACACUGAAUAUUAAUAUUUAUUUGUUAUACUUUGGUGUUUUGGUUUUCAAGACCGAGCCUCUCAUGAGUGUCAUUUGCGUUGCCAAUUUCAAAGCUGAAAUCCAGUAUGUUUAACCCUAAAAGACCCGACUCUGAUCUGAAUCCUCACUACAUGAACCCCAGCCAAUCAUGAAUCAGUGCUAGUGCAGCCUCUACGGGUGUAAUGAUAUCCAAGUCUAACAAUAUGAUAUCAUCACAGUAUGAACCUCACGGAACGAUAUUUAUUGCGAUAUCGUGGGGAAGCUCAUGAUUAGGGAUAUAACAAUAUCCAAAUCUCUCUGUACGAUAUUUUCACGAUAUACAUCUCAUAGUACGGUAUUUAUUUCGAUAUUUUAUGGACUAACAAACAGAACUGUCUAACAAAACUGUUAAUAUACUACUUUUUCCUUUUAAAAUGUCUUGACAAGACUUAAUCCAAAGAACAAAGACUUAAAAGUGCUUAGACCUGUUAUUUGUUCUUAUAGUCUACACUGAAAUGAAGCAAAGAAUCAUGGUCUAUGUAGUUCUCUCUGUCUUUUUUUAGCUACUGCUGCACCAUAACUCUUAAUUUAAGCAAAGAGACUUGUAAUUCGAUAUGUUGUGAUGGUCCACGAUAUUAUUGUGAGAACUUUGACGAUACGAUAUCAUAAUAUUUCAGUUAUUGUUACAUCCCUAGCAGCGUCUGCAGCUCAGUGAGCGCGGGAUAUAUACAGUUCCUUGUAUUGACUUUUCUACCUUUAUGUCUUAAUUGCCUUCAUUUUUAAAAAGCAAUAUAUGUUGCAAAAAACUGUCAGAAAAUUGUAAGUAUAAAGUAAAUGUUGAUAAGUUGGUGCCUUCAUGAAAACACUGUGCCAUGUACAGUGCAGUACUUUAAAAAAAAUCUGAAAAGGUCAAGGUUUCUUCCUUAAAAUCAAGUCACAGUUUUCAUUAACCCUGAUAAGCAGCGAAUUCUACAAUACCACCAUGCUCAGUUUCAAUCUCCCACCGUUAGAAUUUAGAAGACUUUGAAUGUGAGUUAUUUGCCCCUGGAUCAUGUUUCCCUUCUGUACAUAGAAGCGCACACCUUUUUUUUACUGAACUGAUCCAACCUGUAGCACAGCAGCUACCAGGGGAAUGAUAUAGAUUACCAACAGGACAGGCUUUCGGUGCCCCCGCUGCUUUUGGUUCUGGCAUGAUUUCUCUAUCUAAGGUGCAUAUUCAAUGUGAAGUAAAUGUUGUUAAAAGCCUCAAAUCAAAGAUAGAAAUUACAGUAGAAAUCUAACAUGAACUUCCUCACUCAUCUUUCUGAACCCGCCUCUCCUCCUGCCUCGUCUCUGAAACCCCCAGUCAGUGUUGGGGAGUAACAGAUUACAUGUACCAGAGUUACGUAAUCAGAGUACAAUUUAUGAGUAACUGUAUUCAGUUACAGUUACUGUUUCAGUGAGUGGUAAAUGGAUUACAGUUACUUUAUUGAAAUAAAUGGAUUACAUGGCGGUAUUUUCCUGUUUUCACAUUUGGGCUAUAUCCCCCUUUUUUUUUCCGGUAAUUCCACUCAUUGCCGGACACUAAACCAGGUCUAAACUAGGUCUAAACCAAGACUAAACCAGGACUAUAACCAGGUCCAAACCAGGUCUAAACCAGGACUAAAGCCAGGUCUAAACUGGGACUAAACUAGGACUAAACCAGGACUAUAACCAGGUCCAAACCAGGUCUAAACCAGGACUAAAACCAGGACUAAAACCAGGUCUAAACUGGGACUAAACUAGGACUAAACCAGGACUAUAACCAGGUCUAAACCAGGUCUAAAACAGGAUUUAACAGGACUAAAUCAUGCUGCAUGGACCAUGUCUCCUCCUCUUCUAUUAAUAAUAUUUUAAAUAUGGUUAAGUAAAGUCUGGACUUUUUUAUUGUCUUGACAAAACAUCGUAUGUGAAGAUUUCCUCGUCUUUGCUUCUCUACAGCAAAUCAAGUAAUCCAAAGUAUUCAGAUUAUUUUACUCACUUUAAGUAAUUUAAUGGAUUACGUUACAAACUACAUUUUGGGGUAUGUAAUCUGUAAUCUGUAGGGGAAUACAUUUUAAAUGUCACCUUCCCAACACUGCCCCCAGUGCACAAAUUUCUCUAUAUUUGGACCAAACUGCUUACUUCCACAUCUAGCUGUCUUUUUAUAGAUGACGAACUUGAAACUUGUGUACAUAACCUGAUUGUACGUACGCACGCUUUAUAAAUGAGACCUCAGACCUGUAACUGUAACCUGGCAGCUCUCCCUCCUCGUGGAGAUGAGCAGGUAAUGGACUGUGGAACAUUCCGGGCAGAGCAAUUACAUCUCCCAGAGAGACAAGCAGCUAAAGUACCCACCGCUAGAGAAAAGCACCGUAUAAUUUAUAACGGCCCAUCCUGUAAAUAACCAGGGAGGAAUACGCUGAAGUCUAUUUCAGUGCAUGUCUGCCUGUCUAAGUCAUAUGUCCUACCCUGAUAAUUGAUCUGAGUGUUUCUCAAAUCUCUGCACAGAAAAGUAGGACAUAACCAGGAGGAAUGUAUCAUGUAGUACUAAUAAUAAUCCAUUAGUCUCGUAUAGAGCUUUUCCAGACGUUCAAAGUGGUGAAUUUGUGGUAACGACUGGCACCGAGUUUGGAAGUUCACAGUUUUCAAGAUUUAAAAAGAAAAAGUACUGCGCUGUGUAAUGUACAGGGUAUUUCAAAUGCAUCAAGCUAUUCACAUUUACUUUAUACUUGCAUAAAUGUUUGCUUUUAUUUUCUACAAUCGACAUUUCUAAGCCGCCGGUCAACGUUAAGCAGAAACUAUUUACGAUUGUUUCUCUUCAGACUCUGCUCUCUCUGCGCCUCAUUAAUGGACUAUAAAGCUACAACACAGCGAUACACAAAUGCAGUUUUUGAAUCAUAAUGAGACAAUGGUUGAAUCAUUCACAUCAAACUAAAAAACACAAACAAUACUGAUGUAAAAAUACAUUUGUACUGUAAUUACUGUGCGGCUUGAUUCGCUGCCAGCCGUUUAGCUGCAGAAAUCCACUUCUUAUGUCAAUUUGGAGAUUUGUACAUCCAGUAAAAGGCUCACCAGUGUUUCCAAAAAAGUUUCCCAAGCUUUUUUCUGGGGACACAUAAUUUUAAAAGUUUCAAACAUUUGCGACCCAAAUCAAUAGACAUUAUUCGUAUAUCACAAAAUAAAGGUGGACUUGACCAUUAUUGAACAUUAAUGAGGAUAUUUUAUUGUUGACUGAGUGAUCGUGUGUCUCUGAACAAUUAGUAUUACUCAAGUUUUAAACAAUGAAAAACAGUCAUUGAAGCAGCACUAAAAGGAUCCAUCCGCCUAUUUGGACAUUAAACGUAGCCCAUUUCUUUUUCUUUUCAACUUUCAAUUGGACCAGCAAUACUGGAACAAAAUAGUCAAUAAAAUAAUUACAAAAAAGAUUAGAAAUUAUCCAAAACAUGUCUGAACAUUUCAGUAUUUCUAACGAGGUAAGUGGGCCUGUCCGUGUUUUUGUAGCAUGUUCCAGUCCGGGUGCAGGAGCAGAUCAGUGUCAGGACUGUAUAUUGCAGACCUACAUGCAGAU